UGGGGAAUAUUGCACAAUGGGCGCAAGCCUGAUGCAGCCAUGCCGCGUGUGUGAAGAAGGCCUUCGGGUUGUAAAGCACUUUCAGCGGGGAGGAAGGCGUUAAGGUUAAUAACCUUGGCGAUUGACGUUACCCGCAGAAGAAGCACCGGCUAACUCCGUGCCAGCAGCCGCGGUAAUACGGAGGGUGCAAGCGUUAAUCGGAAUUACUGGGCGCAAAGCGCACGCAGGCGGUCUGUCAAGUCGGAUGUGAAAUCCCCGGGCUCAACCUGGGAACUGCAUUCGAAACUGGCAGGCUAGAGUCUUGUAGAGGGGGGUAGAAUUCCAGGUGUAGCGGUGAAAUGCGUAGAGAUCUGGAGGAAUACCGGUGGCGAAGGCGGCCCCCUGGACAAAGACUGACGCUCAGGUGCGAAAGCGUGGGGAGCAAACAGG
rnacentral:rRNA from 1 species